CAUCCAGGACAUCCAUGACCAUGACACCCCUGCCUUCUCCAGUUGUGCCCAUGGCCCUCUAGACGAAGAUCAGCGCAACAAAGAGUGGCUGGACCCAGGCUCAUUGGCAGCAGUCAAGUUGGAGAACAUAAUGAUGAGGGCUGCCUUGCUGAAAGAUGUUCGUCAGCUGUCUCCACAGCACCAGACCUUCUCCCUUGAGGCUUACCACUCCCUCAUCUUGCACUUCGCGCCCAAGCACACAGGGUUUUCAUACCUUGGGAUGUAUAGCAGGUCAGUGCUAUCCAAUGGAAUAACACUGCCAAUUAUUAUGCCUUUUAUAGUAAUAAUAGUACCUAUUAACGUGCCUAUUGUAGUAUUUUGUCAUACACCAAGUUUCAAAGGUUUUCUCAAAUGUGUUAUUUUGUAGGCUUCUCUUAGCGGCGCUGCAUUAUAAUCACAAUGCCAAUCGCGAGACAGCACGGAGAAGUGACGGGACGGAGAAGUACUGCGUGCGGUAUCCGCGCUUCAGAAAAGGUGCCCAUGUGGUGCGUCCCAUCAAAGAGGCAGCCUCAUACGGUUAUGCAACAUCAUUAAUGAAGGCCCUUCGGGAGAGCUACGCCAAUUCACCCGCGGUUCUUCGAGAGGUUGGCGCCAAUUUGUCCUCCGAUGCACCC